rnacentral:rRNA from 1 species
CAGAGGGUGCGAGCGUUAAUCGGGAUUUACUGGGCGUAAAGCGUGCGUAGGCGGCUUCUUAAGUCGGAUGUGAAAUCCCUGAGCUUAACUUAGGAAUUGCAUUCGAUACUGGGGAAGCUAGAGUAUGGGAGAGGAUGGUAGAAUUCCAGGUGUAGCGGUGAAAUGCGUAGAGAUCUGGAGGAAUACCGAUGGCGAAGGCAGCCAUCUGGCCUAAUACUGACGCUGAGGUACGAAAGCAUGGGAGCAAACAGGAUU